rnacentral:rRNA from 1 species
AUGCCCAAGGCCGGCAGGCGGCGCACGAGGGGGAAUCCGGAUCCGGAGACGGAGAGGGAAGCCAAGAAGAGAAGCCUGGCGGAGGAGGAGGCCUCUCCUUCAGCGAUGUUUGCGGUCAUUGAGCGCGGCGAUGCCCCUCAAUCCGAAGCAAAACCAGAUCGUGUCUACGAUGUGGUCCAGUCCUUGACGGAGGAAUCCUCCGGUUCACCCAUUCCUCUGCUCCAUGAACCCUACAUCCCCAACGAGCUAGCCUCCCAUCCGGGCGCACACCACGCCUUCCAGCUUGCCGAAGCCAAAUACAAUGCAGAAAACGACCAUCGAUAUGCUUUGUUCACAAUGGCUCGCGGCCCUCCGCACUCGUGUCUGUUCAAUGAGCGGCGCCUUCUUCCAAUCCGUGAAUCCGCAAAGGACGCCGUGCUUCUUGCCUCCGGAUCUGUCGUUAGGCUCUCCUCCUCUCUUGGCCGCAUGCCACUGAAUAAGUGCUGUGGGUUGUGGUUCCAAUGGGAUGAAGAGAAGAAAACCGGCAUUGUUUUGACGUCUGCGUAUCUAGUUCGCAAACAGGAUCCCUCCAUGAUGGACCAGUGGACAGGAAAGUAUCAUCGUGAUGCUCGGGUCAUUGUUCACUUACUUGAUGGCACAACUGCAAGAGGUAGUCUCCUGUACCUCCAGGAGCAUUAUGAAAUUGCUCUUUAUAAGGUUACAAUGCACAAACCUGUUGAGUUGCCCACUUUUAAUGACACGGUGCAUUCGGGUCAAGAUGUUUUCAGACUUGGAAGAGAUGAUGAAAGUUUGGAUUUGAAGAUAACUCAUGGUAGGGUGGAAUACAAAAUCCCAGUUCGACAUGAGAGAUGUCACUACCUAUAUUUUUCCCCUGAUGAAUCUCGUCACCGUUUGGACCACGGAGGGCCUAUCGUUGAUCUAGAAGGGAAGGUUGUGGGACUGGUUAACAAUCAUAUAAAUGAGACUUUUGUGCCUUCAUGCAUAUUACACAAGUGUUUGGAUUUCUGGAGGAUUUUCAAGUGCAUGCCUCGGCUGCAUCUUGGAAUGACCUUUACUUCCAUCAAGCUUUUAGACCCUAUUUGUAUUGAGAGGAUGAAGCGUAAGCAUAACAUUGAGUCCGGUCUCAUUGUUCAACAGGUGUCAAAAGGAUCAUAUGCCGAGAAACUGGGAAUCCGCAAAGGUGAUGUUAUUGAAGGUUUUAAUGGAAAAUACAUUUCUACGACAAUUGAGGUUUGUGCAUUGUAUAUUUAUUAG